ACAGAAGUAUAAAAACUACUCAGAAACUACUAUGAAAACCUCUAUACACACAAACUAGAAAACCUAGAAGAAAUGGACAAAUUCCUGGAAAGAUACAAAAUC